UUUUUUCACACAAAAUUAUUUAUUAGGCACGAAGAAAAAAUCCCAAAAUUCUUACAAGAAUUUCAUAUGAUGAUGAAGACUAUACCGAGGAAGAAGAUAACGAAAUAAAACUAUGUGAAUCGACAGUGCAGUAUAAACAUCCUAAAAUUGCUGAAAAUAGAAACAAUACGUGGCAAUUUAUCCUAAAUGACGAUGAAGAUCCGGUUCAAACAUACCGUUCCGAAAUUUGCAAGACUUCUAGAUCAAAAUGUUCUGAGAAACUCAUACCAGAACUUAACUACGAAAGCGCAUGCAUCCAAAGGUUUACCUUCAAGGAAAUGUACUAUAUUGACAAAAACAAACAAAUUGGAACAGACUACUUUAAAGUUCCCACGUGUUGCUCUUGUAAAUUAUUUCAUACGAAUUAAUAGUUUUGUCAAUUACUAUGAUUUUUUUAUAUUCAAACUCUUCUUUCAAUACUGAAUAAAAAAAAUUAUAUUAUUUUAUCUUUAUCUCAGAUUAUUAUGAAAACAAAAGACAUAUGGACCACGCAGAACAUUAUAAUGAAGCAUAAUUUUUGCUAGCAUUCAUAUUAUGGUGACUUAAUAAUCUAAAUUGAAUUGAUGAGAAAAAAAGCAACGGAUAGAGUUAUUCGUAUUUAAAAAAAAAAAACAAAAACUUAAAACUAAAAGUG